GUGGGGAAUUUUGGACAAUGGGCGCAAGCCUGAUCCAGCAAUGCCGCGUGCAGGAAGAAGGCCUUCGGGUUGUAAACUGCUUUUGUACGGAACGAAACGGUCCGGGUUAAUACCCUGGGCUAAUGACGGUACCGUAAGAAUAAGCACCGGCUAACUACGUGCCAGCAGCCGCGGUAAUACGUAGGGUGCAAGCGUUAAUCGGAAUUACUGGGCGUAAAGCGUGCGCAGGCGGUUUUGUAAGACAGGCGCGAAAUCCCCGGGCUCAACCUGGGAAUUGCGCUUGUGACUGCAAGGCUGGAGUGCGGCAGAGGGGGAUGGAAUUCCGCGUGUAGCAGUGAAAUGCGUAGAUAUGCGGAGGAACACCGAUGGCGAAGGCAAUCCCCUGGGCCUGCACUGACGCUCAUGCACGAAAGCGUGGGGAGCAAACAGGAUUAGAAACCCGGGUAGUCC
rnacentral:rRNA from 1 species